GAUGAACGCUGGCGGCGUGCUUAACACAUGCAAGUCGAACGAAGCACUUUUACAGAUUUCUUCGGAAUGAAGUUUUAGUGACUGAGUGGCGGACGGGUGAGUAACGCGUGGGUAACCUGCCUCACACAGGGGGAUAACAGUUGGAAACGGCUGCUAAUACCGCAUAAGCGCACAGUACCGCAUGGUACAGUGUGAAAAACUCCGGUGGUGUGAGAUGGACCCGCGUCUGAUUAGCUAGUUGGCAGGGCAACGGCCUACCAAGGCGACGAUCAGUAGCCGACCUGAGAGGGUGACCGGCCACAUUGGGACUGAGACACGGCCCAAACUCCUACGGGAGGCAGCAGUGGGGAAUAUUGCACAAUGGGGGAAACCCUGAUGCAGCGACGCCGCGUGAGCGAAGAAGUAUUUCGGUAUGUAAAGCUCUAUCAGCAGGGAAGAAGAAAUGACGGU
rnacentral:rRNA from 1 species